rnacentral:lncRNA from 1 species
CACGAACAUAUGAACGCCAAAUUGCAAACACUGCCAGUAGCAAGACUCGGAUCCAUCCUUCAGAUAACAAAGCAGAAAUCCUCGCAAAUCUCCAGAGUAUUUAAGGACACUUACUUUUCAGAAAAGUUAUCUAUUCCCCAAAAGGUGGAAUGCUAACACUGUAUAUUACAGAACACAACUUCCAUGUUACAUGAAGAUCUGAAAGACUGUCUUUUGAAGUCAGGAUGGGUCGGUGCUAAACCCGCAAGCUUCAUCAGCUAGCGAGGCUCUCCACGCUUCAGAAAGAGCUCACACAGGUACUGCAGCAGGAGAACUCUGUCAACCACCAGUCAGACUGACCGAUAUCCUGGAUCAGUUAUCGGGUGAAGAGUGCACUAAAGACGGGAGGAAGAGGAAGCAACCAAGAGGCGCCCUUUGGGCACACAAAGCAGUUGUCUGCAACAUCAGAAUGGGGAUGAUUUCUAAUCAUGAUCGUCUGCCUCAGCAGUCAUGCUCAGAUUGUGUUCUGAGAGCUGCUGCAUCACCCAAUGGUACAUAUUACCUGCCCACUCAGGAUGCAAACCUGGACACCACAGUACGGCUGAAAGCGUGAUCGUCAUUAAGCACUGGUCACUCCGCACAGUCGCUCUGCACUAGCUAUCAUUUGGAAUAUCCUUUCGCUAGGCAUUACUGCAUUUCUCCAUUCUUCCUCAAAUAAAACAACCCAAACCAACAGUAUUAAUCUUCUGUUUCAUUCUGAAUAACUAUUUUGAUAUGACAAUCUUACCUAAAAUAAUUCGCUUUAUAGCACUGCAAUCCAGAGAAAUGAUGUUAGCAGAUGUACUCACCUAUAAACAUGAAACAGUAAAUUUACCUGGAUUCCUCUUCCUUACAUUACCAAGCAGCUGAAAUGUUAAUGUAGUACAGCCUGAAGGUCAGUGUGAACGCCAGCACUGCCAUGCUUGCUUCACAGAGAGGGAACUGAACCACAAGCAGGUUAAGUAACAUGCCCAAGGUCAAAAAAAAAAGGAACGUACAUGAAGAUACAGAGUCAGCCUCCCAUUUCUUGUGCUGUCACACCAAGAGGCCAUUUUUACACAGAAGAAUCAGAUUUUUAAUGUAGUUCUAGGGAGUAGUUAGUCUUCUGAUUCCUUACAUAAAUUUUA